UACGGGCUGAAAGGGGGCGGGUUAAGCGUCCCGUGUACUCCUGCGCAGUGGUUCUCUCCUGUAGUGUGUGUUACCCCCUUAAAAUGGCUGCCAGACUGUCUGCGCAUGCCGAAGUCUGAGUUUUUUACCCGGCGGGAACCAGUUUGUUGACCUAGGAGCAGGCAUCCUAAACACGUAUGUUUAUCUCAACUCCCUCAAGUCAUCACAGCGUCAAGUCACCUGGCUGGAGAUAAGCUAUGAGACCACAACCGGCAGGUGCCUGAUCCGCUUGAAGAAAGGAAAAAAACUGAUGUUUGGCAGCUUGAGGAGAAAGCAGAUGGCAGUAAAACCAGCUACCCUCAAGCCCUUGAAUUACUUCAAAAUGCUGUGGGAGGAAGAACAUUUAUAUUUAAAUUUUUAAAAAAGAAGCCAAGCUGAAGGAGAGGCAAGAGUGGGCUGGAACACUUCCACCAGCGUUGAAUUUACUAAAUGAAUGGAAGAGGUGGAAGAUAUGUCCCUAGGAAACCCAGGCCACCCACUCUUACCUCUUGAGAGCACUCUCCUCAGAAGGACCUUUGGCCAGGUGUUGCUCUAAGUCAUGCCUGCCAUCCCAGUGAAUGGGCAACACAACCUAGUGGAGUGUGUUUUGGGGUCAUCUGCAUCAAGCUGAGGGUACCAGAUGGAAGAUGAAAUGUUUACAAUGUCUAAAUCCAAUAAAUAAUUCAUAUUCUUACAACUUAUAACUACUAAAUAUCAAAAGGAAUAAAGAAACUAUAGUUAAAUGAA